ACACCUUACAUCAUUCGCCUUGCCAUGUCUGCUGCCAUUGGAGGUCUUCUCUUUGGUUAUGACACUGGUGUUAUUUCUGGAGCUCUGCUGUAUAUCAAGGAAGAUUUCAAAGCUGUUCAGGACUAAACAUGGCUUCAGGAAACAAUUGUGAGUGCGAUUGUGGGAUAUGCAUUCGAGGGGUGGAUGACUGAUAA